rnacentral:rRNA from 1 species
GAUGAACGCUGGCGGCGUGCCUAACACAUGCAAGUCGAACGGAGUCCAGCCUUAGAGACCUUCGGGUCAAAGAGGGGAAGACUGAGUGGCGGACGGGUGAGUAACACGUGGGCAACCUGGCUCAUAGAGGGGGAUAACAGAGAGAAAUUUCUGCUAAUACCGCAUAAGCACACACUGCCGCAUGGCAGAGUGUGAAAAGAGAAUCGCUAUGAGAUGGACCCGCGUCUGAUUAGCCAGUUGGCAGGGUAAGAGCCUACCAAAGCGACGAUCAGUAGCCGAUUUGAGAGGAUGAACGGCCACAUUGGGACUGAGACACGGCCCAAACUCCUACGGGAGGCAGCAGUGGGGGAUAUUGCACAAUGGGGGGAACCCUGAUGCAGCGACGCCGCGUAAGUGAAGAAGUAUUUCGGUAUGUAAAGCUCUAUCAGCAGGGAAGAUAAUGACAGUACCUGAAUAAGAAGCCCCGGCUAACUACGUG